rnacentral:rRNA from 1 species
UGGGGAAUUUUGCACAAUGGGGGAAACCCUGAUGCAGCGACGCCGCGUGAUUUAGAAGGCCUUCGGGUUGUAAAAAUCUUUUCUAUGGGAAGAAAAUGACAGUACCAUAGGAAUAAGGACCGGCUAAUUACGUGCCAGCAGCCGCGGUAAUACGUAAGGUCCGAGCGUUGUCCGGAAUCAUUGGGCGUAAAGGGUACGUAGGCGGGUAAGCAAGUUAGAAGUGAAAUCCUGUAGCUCAACUACAGUAAGCUUUUAAAACUGCUCAUCUUGAGAUAUGGAAGGGAAAGUGGAAUUCCUGGUGUAGCGAUGAAAUGCGCAGAUAUUAGGAGGAAUACCGGUGGCGAAGGCGACUUUCUGGCCAUAAUCUGACGCUGAGGUACGAAAGCGUGGGUAGCAAACAGG